GACGAGCGCUGGCGGCGUGCUUAACACAUGCAAGUCGAACGCUGAAGACCUGGCUUUUGUUGGGUUGGCUGAGUGGCGAACGGGUGAGUAACACGUGAGUAACCUGCCCUCUUCUUUGGGAUAACGCCCGGAAACGGGUGCUAAUACUGGAUAUUCACUGAUCUUCGCAUGGGGGUUGGUGGAAAGGUUUGUUCUGGUGGGGGAUGGGCUCGCGGCCUAUCAGCUUGUUGGUGGGGUGAUGGCCUACCAAGGCUUUGACGGGUGGCCGGCCUGGGAGGGUGACCGGUCAGAUUGGGAGUGAGAUACGGCCCAGACUCAUACGGGAGGCAGCAGUGGGGAAUAGUGCACAAGGGGCGAAAGCCUGAUGCAGCGACGCCGCGUGAGGGAGGGAGGCCUUCGGGUUGGAAACCUCUUUCGCUCAUGGUCAAGCCGCAACUGUGGGUUGUGGUGAGGGUAGUGGGUAAAGAAGCGCCGGCUAACUACGUG
rnacentral:rRNA from 1 species